GCCUAUGGCCAUGCCACCCUGAAUGUGCCCGAUCUCGUCUGAUCUCGGAAGCUGAGCAGGGUCAGUCCUGGUUAGUAUUCGGAUGGAAGACCACCAAGAAGACCAGGUGCUGUAGGCA
rnacentral:rRNA from 1 species